AACGAACGCUGGCGGCAUGCCUAACACAUGCAAGUCGAACGAGACCUUCGGGUCUAGUGGCGCACGGGUGCGUAACGCGUGGGAACCUGCCCUUAGGUUCGGAAUAACUCCCCGAAAGGGGUGCUAAUACCGGAUAAUGUCUUCGGACCAAAGAUUUAUCGCCUUUGGAUGGGCCCGCGUUGGAUUAGCUAGUUGGUAGGGUAAAAGCCUGCCAAGGCGACGAUCCAUAGCUGGUCUGAGAGGAUGAUCAGCCACACUGGGACUGAGACACGGCCCAGACUCCUACGGGAGGCAGCAGUGGGGAAUAUUGGACAGUGGACGAAAGCCUGAUCCAGCAAUGCCGCGUGAGUGAUGAAGGCCUUAGGGUUGUAAAGCUCUUUUACCCGGGAUGAUAAUGACAGUACCGGGAGAAUAAGCUCCGGCUAACUCCGUG
rnacentral:rRNA from 1 species